rnacentral:lncRNA from 1 species
GACCGGGAAUGAAGCCCACUCGGGGCUGAGCGGGCCCUGUGCAGUGUACUUGACUUCAUUUCUUAGAUUCAGCAAGGUCACCGUGAGGCAGGAGAGCAUGUGAGUUGGAGCAGAGUAGAGGAAGAAUCCCAUGGCUCUGAGUUGGCCUUCAUCUGGAAGCCACCGAGUCUCCAGUUCUUACUUGAUCUCUCAAAAGAAAUAACAAGUGUGCUCCAGGCAGGUCCAGCCUGCCAAACAGAAGCUGAGGACAGCAGUGAGUGUAGCCCGACACAAAAUGGCUCCAGCUUUCCACAGCCAGGCUGUCCUUAGGAGCCACCACGUCCCCGGAGGCACGAAGGCCCACGACCGUCACUUCCUCCCCAAGGCCUGGUCUCUUGUGCCUGGUGAGUGACAGCAAGACAUUUAGUCAUCCGGGGUCUCCGUUUUCCUUUUUCUGUAAAAGGGGCUGAGCGUCCCUCAGGUUUAUGGAGAGUUUUGAAGGAACAAGGCAGAUACGUUGCUCAGCGAUGUCUGACCUGGAGCACACACUCCAGCCAAGUCACCCAUGAUGGUCUUCGUAAUCGCCAUGACCGGGCGCUCUGUCAGAGGCCACUCUCCGAAUGGUGCAUCCUCUGCAACUUUCCCCUCUCUGGCUCUGCUGCGUCUCCCCAGGGCUCCAACAACCCUGUCACUGAAAUCAGGUGGAGACCGAGUCCCAUUUUACUAAAACCAUGAGAAUAUGGUGAACAACAUGCUGAUGGUUUUAACUGCCUUAAAGGAUACAGCUCAGGGGCACUGAGAGCAGCCCUUAUGGUCGUCAUUGUCACCAAGACUUCCUUGUCUUCCCAGACCCCAACUUUGUCCCUUUUACACCAAGCACUGUCUCACCAGCCACCAGAUGCUGGCAACCUCUGUUGUCUGUCUCUACCUGUCUGACCCACCUUGGCACCUCAUGUCAGUGGAUCAUACAUCCAUUGAUCUUUCUGUGAUUGGUUUGUUUUCUGGAACAUGGUGUGCACAAGUGUUAAUGAAAUGGCACACAUCAGCAUGUACUCCAUUUUUGAGACUAUAUAAUAUUUCUUUUGUGGGUUUCAGUUAUUCAUAGAGAAACACUAGCCAUCUCCAUCCUUUUGAUAUAGUGAAAAUGAAUGCUAUGUAUUGACAUGAAUGUACAUGUGCUGUAUCUGUUGGAUUCUUUUGAUUCAUACAUAUAUAGCCACGAUGUACCACAAUGCCCAAACUGUGUAAUUGCUGGAUAAAAUGGCAAUUCUGUUUAAUGUAUAUAUAUAUAUAUGCAUAUGUGUGCA